AAGACACUAGUAAAACUGAUUAUUACACUGCUUUGUCAAGGCAGAAUUGUGGGUUUAAGCCCCGCGUGUUUUA
rnacentral:tRNA from 2 species